AUGUUGGGUAGACGGGCCCCAGGGGAGGGAGUUGUUUGGCUCUCACAGUCCCAGGAGAGCUACAGACUCUACCCUGGGGUCCUGCGAGGUGGGGGAGACAGUAGAUCACAAAGUCCUUGGGGAAGCUGUCGGGACCUCAACUUACCUCGGAGCCUGCGCUCUUCUCAAGGCCGUGCACUCGCCCGAGGGCUGCAGUCAGUUCAAGGCCCCUGCGGCCACACAGAGCAGGUGCCGAGGCAGGAGAUAGAGCAGCCCUGGCCUGCAAGUUGCUGUCCAUCUUCCGGGAAGGAUUCCUGGCCUUUGCAGAGAGUCAGGGCAGGGCACCAGCGCCCGAGUGAAGCAAUGGGCGGUGUUCCAGAAGGAGGUUGCGGAAUUUGGAGAAAGUCAGGCCUCGAGAGACCUACACAGAGUCCUCUCUUGAAGGUGUCCAUUGAAGCCUGGGAAUGGAUAGGAUCUCAGAGGAGGGAUGGAGAAAUAAGAAAUAAGAAACCUGCUUAGACCCGGGCUACUGUCCAGCUUUGCCAGCUCCAUCGCUCCCAGUCUGCCUUCAAAACCCAUCUUCUCUUAGCAGCUGGGGAAAAGCAUCUCUAACUCUGGUUCUGAACUUUUUCUUUGAGCAACUGCCCUUCCACCCACAGCCAUGCUCCCCGCCCUAGCCAGCAGGAAGUGUGGUUUGACACUGCGCUCUGCCCCUCACCCCUGGUCCUUUUGGGGAAAUGUCAUUUAGCUGGGUCCCUUGUGACUCUUUAGCAGCAAACACCCCUGUUAGGAAGUUCCAGGCCACUCGCCCCUCAUUCUUGAGAGAACAGCUUUCCACCUGCACUAUAGUUUCAAAAUGGUGAGCAUCCCCUGUGCCAGCCUAGGAGGAGCCAAGAGAUGCGACGAAGAAUCAGCCAAGGGAGGAAAGGCAGAGCCAAAGGUGACACUGCAGUGCCAAGUUCUCAGUCUGCCAGGGACUAGACUCCCUUCAUGCCUCAUUUGUGAGGGUCAGGGUUCCUACAAGGAUUCCAAGAUCACAAUAAGGCAGGAGGAGCAGCAGGCCAGACAGAUGGGACACAAAAGUCCAAGGUCAUGGUUGCAGUUAAAUAUGUCCUCUCAGAAACUCAGUCUGGCUCAGGGGUAAAAUACACCACCAUCUUUUUCCUGCAUGGUGGCGUGGCUCCCCAAAUUUUUCUACCAAAAGGUAAGGCACCGCGACUGCUGCCCAGAGUGGGUCACGUCCUUUGGUCAGCUUCUGCUGUUACAGCAUGAGAUCCAGGACGAGGGGCGUUCCCACUGUGGCUCAGUGGGUGAAGAACUUGACUAGCAUCCAUGAGGAUGUGGGUUCCAUCUCUGGCUUCACGCAGUGGGUUAAGGAUCCAGCAUGGCUGCAAGCGGCGGCGUAGGUCACAGAUGCAGCUCAGAUCCCGUGUGGCUGUGGCUGUGGCUGUGGUGUAGGCUGGUAGGGGCAGCUCCUAUUCGACCCCUAGCCUGGGAAGUUCCAUAAGCCACAGUUUUA
rnacentral:lncRNA from 1 species